rnacentral:rRNA from 1 species
GCCCAGACUCCUACGGGAGGCAGCAGUGGGGGAUAUUGGACAAUGGGGGGAACCCUGAUCCAGCGAUGCCGCGUGAGGGAAGAAGGUUUUCGGAUCGUAAACCUCUGUGGACAGGGACGAUAAUGACGGUACCUGUCAAGAAAGCCACGGCUAACUACGUGCCAGCAGCCGCGGUAAUACGUAGGUGGCGAGCGUUGUCCGGAAUUACUGGGUGUAAAGGGAGUGUAGGCGGGAAGGCAAGUCUGGAGUGAAAGCCCGGGGCCCAACCCCGGAACUGCUCUGGAAACUGUGCGGCUAGAGUACUGGAGGGGCAGGCGGAAUUCCUAGUGUAGCGGUGAAAUGCGUAGAUAUUAGGAGGAACACCAGUGGCGAAGGCGGCCUGCUGGACAGUAACUGACGUUGAGGCUCGAAAGCGUGGGGAGCAAACAGGAUUAGAUACCCUCGUAAG